ACUCGAGUGGCGAACGGGUGAGUAACACGUGGGUGAUCUGCCCUGCACUUCGGGAUAAGCCUGGGAAACUGGGCCUAAUACCGGAUAGGAGCCAUUUUUAGUGUGAUGGUUGGAAAGUUUUUUCGGUGUAGGAUGAGCUCGCGGCCUAUCAGCUUGUUGGUGGGGUAAUGGCCUACCAAGGCGGCGACGGGUAGCCGGCCUGAGAGGGUGGACGGCCACAUUGGGACUGAGAUACGGCCCAG
rnacentral:rRNA from 1 species